rnacentral:rRNA from 1 species
GACGAACGCUGGCGGCGUGCUUAACACAUGCAAGUCGAACGGAAAGGCCCCUUUGUGGGUACUCAAGUGGCGAACGGGGGCGUAACACGUGAGUAACCUUCCCUUGACUACGGGAUAACGUCAGCAAACUGGGGCUAAUACCGGAUAGGAAUCCUUUCUUCAACGGCGGGGUUGGAAAGCUUCGGCGGGUUUUGGUGUACUCGCGGCUUAUCAGCUUGCUGGUGUGGUAGUGUGUUACCAAGGCUUUGACGGGUAGCCAGACUGAGAGGGCGACCGGCCACAUUGGGACUGAGAUACGGCACAGGCUGCUAAGGGAGGCAGAAGUGGGGAAGCUUGCACAAUGGGCGGAAGGCUGAUGCAGCAACGCCGCGGGCGGGAUGACGGCCUUCGGGUUGAAAAACGCUUUCAGCAGGGGCGAAGCUUGUGGUGACGGUACCUGCAGAAGAAGCACCGGCUAACUACGUG